rnacentral:rRNA from 1 species
UGGGGAAUAUUGCACAAUGGGCGCAAGCCUGAUGCAGCCAUGCCGCGUGUGUGAAGAAGGCCUUCGGGUUGUAAAGCACUUUCAGCGAGGAGGAAGGUGGUGAACUUAAUACGUUCAUCAAUUGACGUUACUCGCAGAAGAAGCACCGGCUAACUCCGUGCCAGCAGCCGCGGUAAUACGGAGGGUGCAAGCGUUAAUCGGAAUUACUGGGCGUAAAGCGCACGCAGGCGGUUUGUUAAGUCAGAUGUGAAAUCCCCGGGCUCAACCUGGGAACUGCAUUUGAAACUGGCAAGCUAGAGUCUCGUAGAGGGGGGUAGAAUUCCAGGUGUAGCGGUGAAAUGCGUAGAGAUCUGGAGGAAUACCGGUGGCGAAGGCGGCCCCCCUGGACGAAGACUGACGCUCAGGUGCGAAAGCGUGGGGCAGCAAACAGGAUUAGAUACCCUGGUAGUCCACGCUGUAAACGAUGUCGAUUUGGAGGUUGUGCCCUUGAGGCGUGGNUUCCGGAGCUAACGCGUUAAAUCGACCGCCUGGGGAGUAC